rnacentral:rRNA from 1 species
AGCUCCAAUAGCGUAUAUUAAAGUUGUUGUGGUUAAAAAGCUCGUAGUUGGAUCUCAGUUCGAGUCAGGCGGUCCACUUGCCAGUGGUUACUGCUCUGUGCUGAACGUUUCUUUAUCGUAACGUCCUAUGGUAUUCUUAACCGAGUGUCAUAGGCGUUCGAUACGUUUACUUUGAAAAAAUUAGAGUGCUCAAAGCAGGCUUUUACAAGCCCGAAUAAUGUUGCAUGGAAUAAUGGAAUAGGACCUCGGUUCUAUUUUGUUGGUCUUCGGAAUCUCCGAGGUAAUGAUUAAGAGGGACAGACGGGGGCAUUCGUAUUGCGACGCUAGAGGUGAAAUUCUUGGACCGUUGCAAGACGAACUAAAGCGAAGGCAUUUGCCAAGAAUGUUUUCA